AUGGGGGAUGAGGCUGACAAUAUGUUUGAGGAUGAGAAAGUGCACAACGUUAGACGGAGAGGUAGUCGAGAGAGCAGUAGAGAAAAGAAAUGUAGCCCAAGAUAAUGGAUAGCUCGGCAUUGAGCGGAAAGAUGGUCGCUAGUGGGGUUGGGCAGGAGAGAUGAGCUAAAUGUGAGAUUGGAUAUAAGAAGAGAGGUUGGAAAGAGAAGCAUAAAAACCCACUUUUGAAAAGAACUGAAAGUAAAAUUUUUUUACUUUUGACUUUUUUUCAGAA
rnacentral:lncRNA from 1 species